CCUACGGGUGGCAGCAGUGGGGAAUAUUGCACAAUGGGGGAAACCCUGAUGCAGCGAAGCCGCGUGAGUGAAGAAGUAAUUCGGUAUUUAAAGCCCUAUCAGCAGGGAAGCAAAUGACGGUACCUGAGUCAGAAGCCCCGGCUAACUACGUGCCAGCAGCCGCGGGAAUACGUAGGGGGCACGCGUUAUCCGGAUUUACUGGGGUGAAAGGGAGCGUAGGCGGCAGUGCAAGUCUGGAGUGAAGGGUGGGGGCUCAACCCCCGGACUGCUCUUGAAACUGUACGGCUGGAGUGCAGGAGAGGUAAGUGGAAUGCCUAGUGUAGCGGUGAAAUGCGUAGAUAGUACGAAGAACACCAGUGGCGAAGGCGGCUUACUGGCCUGUAACUGACGUUGAGGCACGAAAGCGUGGGUAGCGAACAGGAUUAGAUACCCCAGUAGUC
rnacentral:rRNA from 1 species